rnacentral:piRNA from 1 species
UGGUGGAAAGCAUUAGGCCUAUGUGGUU